UGAAAUGUGCAGAUGAGAUUGUUGGGU
rnacentral:piRNA from 1 species